AUUGAACGCUGGCGGCAUGCCUUACACAUGCAAGUCGAACGGUAACAGGUCUUCGGAUGCUGACGAGUGGCGAACGGGUGAGUAAUACAUCGGAACGUGCCCGAGAGUGGGGGAUAACGAGGCGAAAGCUUUGCUAAUACCGCAUACGAUCUCAGGAUGAAAGCAGGGGACCGCAAGGCCUUGCGCUCACGGAGCGGCCGAUGGCAGAUUAAGUAGUUGGUGGGAAAAAAGCUUACCAAGCCGACGAUCUGUAGCUGGUCUGAGAGGACGACCAGCCACACUGGGACUGAGACACGGCCCAGACUCCUACGGGAGGCAGCAGUGGGGAAUUUUGGACAAUGGGCGCAAGCCUGAUCCAGCCAUGCCGCGUGCAGGAUGAAGGCCUUCGGGUUGUAAACUGCUUUUGUACGGAACGAAAAGACUCUGGUUAAUACCUGGGGUCCAUGACGGUACCGUAAGAAUAAGCACCGGCUAACUACGUGCCAGCCGCCGCAGUAACAC
rnacentral:rRNA from 1 species